UCUGGCCCUAGAAGCAUUGCAGGUAUGACUGCUGUGUCAUAUGUGUGUCAGUAGGUGGCAGAAAGAAGAGAGGUUAUGUCUACACUCAGUGUUCUGACCUGUGACCUCUGAACCUGUGUUUUGGUCUAACACU